CAGUAGCCGCGGUAAUACGUAGGUGGCAAGCGUUAUCCGGAAUUAUUGGGCGUAAAGCGCGCGUAGGCGGUUUCUUAAGUCUGAUGUGAAAGCCCACGGCUCAACCGUGGAGGGUCAUUGGAAACUGGGAAACUUGAGUGCAGAAGAGGAAAGUGGAAUUCCAUGUGUAGCGGUGAAAUGCGCAGAGAUAUGGAGGAACACCAGUGGCGAAGGCGACUUUCUGGUCUGUAACUGACGCUGAUGUGCGAAAGCGUGGGGAUCAAACAGGAUUAGAUACCCCCGUAGUCCCUGUCUCUUAUAC
rnacentral:rRNA from 1 species